rnacentral:rRNA from 1 species
UACGUAGGGUGCAAGCGUUGUCCGGAAUUAUUGGGCGUAAAGAGCUCGUAGGCGGUUUGUCGCGUCUGCUGUGAAAACGCGAGGCUCAACCUCGCGCCUGCAGUGGGUACGGGCAGACUAGAGUGCGGUAGGGGAGAUUGGAAUUCCUGGUGUAGCGGUGAAAUGCGUAGAUAUCGGAAGGAACACCGGUGGCGAAAGCGGCGUGCUGGAUCCCUACUGACGCUGAGGCACGAAAGCCAGGGGAGCAAACGGG